rnacentral:rRNA from 1 species
UACGUAGGUGGCGAGCGUUACUCGGAAUUACUAGGCGUAAAGCGUGUGUAGGCGGGAGGUUAAGUCUGCUGUUAAAUCUCACAGCCCAACUGUGAAAUGCCGGCAGAUACUGGCCUUCUUGAAUUCGGUAGAGGAAACUGGAAUUCCAGGUGUAGCGGUGAAAUGCGUAGAUAUCUGGAAGAACGCCAAAGGCGAAGGCAGGUUUCUGGGCCGCAAUUGACGCUGAGACACGAAAGCUAGGGGAG